rnacentral:rRNA from 1 species
UACAGGGGGUGCAAACGUUGCUCGGAAUUAUUGGGCGUAAAGCGCGCGUAGGCGGACUUUUAAGUCGGGGGUGAAAGCCCAGGGCUCAACCCUGGAAUUGCCUUCGAUACUGAAAGUCUCGGGACCGGAAGAGGUAAGUGGAACUGCGAGUGUAGAGGUGAAAUUCGUAGAUAUUCGCAAGAACACCAGUGGCGAAGGCGGCUUACUGGUCCGGUUCUGACGCUGAGGCGCGAAAGCGUGGGAGCAACAGG